rnacentral:rRNA from 1 species
GACGAACGCUGGCGGCGUGCUUAACACAUGCAAGUCGAACGAUGAAGCUUGGUUCUUGCACUGUGCGGAUGAGUGGCGAACGGGUGAGUAAUACGUGAGUAACCUGCCCUUGACUCUGGGAUAAGCCUGGGAAACUGGGUCUAAUACGGGAUAUGACAUUCCACUGCAUGGUGGUGUGUGGAAAGGGGUUUACUGGUUUUGGAUGGGCUCACGGCCUAUCAGCUUGUUGGUGGGGUAAUGGCCUACCAAGGCGACGACGGGUAGCCGGCCUGAGAGGGUGACCGGCCACACUGGGACUGAGACACGGCCCAGACUCCUACGGGAGGCAGCAGUGGGGAAUAUUGCACAAUGGGCGGAAGCCUGAUGCAGCGACGCCGCGUGAGGGAUGACGGCCUUCGGGUUGUAAACCUCUUUCAGCAGGGAAGAAGCGAGAGUGACGGUACGUGCAGAAGAAGCGCCGGCUAACUACGUG